CACAAUUCUUCUAUGAGUGUAAUAGAUUGACGUCUGAUAAUCUCAUGUGGCUAUAUGGUUCUCAUCCAAGUGUAAUACGGGGCGACAUCCCCAAAAAACAGGAGCCAUGUUGAUUUCAUGGGGCAUGUUGAGGUGCCGAGACAAUGAGGUCACAAUGGUUAACAGCCAGGUUACUAAAAAUAUAGCUAGUGAAACCAAAAGCAUGUACCAUGAUAGAAUACACAUCAUCUAGCUAAAACUAACUCAUGCAUGCAACAGCGGACACAAGGUACUUAAAUUGCAUGAAAUCUUCAAAGUGCUUUCCGCCUAAAGUUUAAAUAGCCAGCAUAUGAAGACGAUGCCUCAUGAAAAUCUUUGGGUGUCUCUUAUAUCCAAUAGUUUGAAAAAUCUAUGCUUAUCUGAUAAGUGCUAAAUAAUGCAUGAACUAAUAUCUUAUUCAUAGCACUUAUCAUUAUUUUAAUUCACAUAUUUUGUAAAUUCAACUAAAAAAUAUGUUCACCUUCAUCAAUGCAUUUUAAUUCAAUUUUGAUUAUUGAUUAAGCUUAAUGUAUGCAGGUCGAAUCAAGCUCAAUAAGAUAAAACCUAAACCUACACUGCAUCAUUUCAUAAUUCCAUAUCCUCCGGAGUCGACUCCAAGAACUCUCCUCCAAAAUCCAGUACUUCCCAUUAAUUUCUGUUUCUUCACAAGUUCACCUACUUCUCUUCCCACACUUUUCAAUCAUUUAUUUCUCAGAUCUCAAAGUAUAUCAUCUAUUCAUCUAUAGUUGCACAGAUCUCAGAGAAUUCUGGUCAUUGGCCUUUUCCCAGCCGAAUAGGAUUAACUCCCCUGUUUCAAACGGUUCAAUUCCCAUCAUCCCAACCUCCAGAUUUCCCCUCACGCCCGUUUCCAUCUUCCUCCACGUCUCUCUACCAAACAGCCCAGCAUUCGCGUUUGAUCCUAGCCUUCCCGUUCAUCAUCCACGAGCAAGCUCAGCCCCUGUUCCACGUCAAACAAAACCUCCUCCACCCUCCUGGCAUUUCGGUAGAGAGCCCCAGCUCAUCUCCCCUCCUCUUCGCCCGUGGGAUAAACUCAAAUCCCAGCUUCUCCCGCUAGAUCCCCUCUACGGAUAAGCUCUCAACAACGUCACCAGAUCAUCAUCUCCCGUGUCCCACAACAAAACCAAGCCAUCAGCCGAUUCCAAACCUCCACGUCCUUCCCAGCUCCCCUAUUUCCCAACAUUCAUCCAGAACCGAAUCUAGAUUAGAACAUCAACAUCCCCUGUUUCUCCGCGUUGUAACCAUGUCACCUUCUUCCCAGAUUUCUUCUCAGCCGCUUCCCAAACCGAGAUCCUCUUCUGGAUUCCUCUCUCCCAUGAUUGUAAUCUAGUCGUCCGCAGCCUUCCUCCCAGCUCACGAAUCCGUCCGAGUUCAUCCUUAUCCCACGACCAGCUAGGAUUCAACGUCAUCCUCUUCAUCACGGUUCAGCAGAUUCGGCAUCCAUCUCCUCCCGUUCGUGAACAUCAUCCUAGCAUCUUCAUCUCAGCCAAAUUCCCAGCCAUCUUCCGGAUGAGAACCAGCAACCUUCUGCCGGAUUACUCCCAACGUCCCAAGCCGUUCCCGAGAAUCCAGACCCCAUCUGGAUUUGCUCCCAUCCUCAUCCUCUUCCAAAUCCUUCCUAGCACUUGGAUUAACUUCAUCGCCCAUGGAUAAGAUCCAAGCUUAUCCUCUCAUCGUCUUCCCCUGUUCCGGAUCACUUCACAUCCGUUCCCAGCUGUCAGCCGAGGUCCCAACUUCCUAUCCCCUGCUCACGGAUCCAUCCACCUUCAUCCCAUUGUGAUCCAUCCUUAUCCAUGGAUUCAAUCAAUGGCAUCAUCCACAAACUUCCCAGCAAAUUUCAUUAUCCACGAACGGCUUCACGCGUCUUCUCCUUUGAUCCGAACCACAGCAGUCCAGCGAAUCAGGCCAAGCUUCAUCCCAACGGCAAAGGGUUCAUCCUUAUCCAUGAUUCAAAAUAAGGAAGAGGAAAGAGAGAUUGGAGCCUAUAAAAGGCCAGGCGUGAAACAGGGGAGGCAACUUCGGUGGGGGUUUCACAUAUCUUCACAAUCUCCGGAGAGGCCAAGUUCCCCACCGGGAGAAGAAGAGCUUGGCUCUUCUCAGGGAGUUCCCACAA